rnacentral:lncRNA from 1 species
ACCGGCAUGGUCCAUGGCUCAAGAAUUCUUCCAGCUCAUCUUAUCUUUGGGCCCGUUGUGAUGUAAGAGCAGAGAGAGGCAGCCAGUCGUGAGCCACAGGAUAUGUACCGACUUCCCAGAAUGUGUGUGUCGAUCUGCUUGAGGCUUAUCUCCACCUGGACACCCAAGAGGACCCUCAAACCCAACAUGCCCAGGGUAACAAUUCUCUGCCCUGACCCUCAUGCUGC